GAGUUUGCUUAGGUAAUAAUGAGAACUGCUAAUUACUCAUUUCCAUGGCUCAACUCCAUGGCUAACUCA
rnacentral:tRNA from 1 species